rnacentral:tRNA from 1 species
GACCCUAUAGCUCAGUAGGAUAGAGCAAGUGCCUCCUAAGCACUAGGUCGGGAGUUCGAAUCUCUCUAGGGUCG